rnacentral:rRNA from 1 species
CCUACGGGAGACAGCAGUGGGGAAUAUUGGGCAAUGGGCGCAAGCCUGACCCAGCCACGCCGCGUGAAGGAAGACUGCUCUCUGGUUGUUAACUUCUUUUGUCAGGGAAGAGUAGCAGACUGUACCUGACCAAUCAGCUACGGCUAACUACGUGCCAGCAGCCGCGGUCCUACGUAGGUGGCAAGCGUUGUCCGGAUUUACUGGGUGUAAAGGGCGUGUAGCCGGGUUGACAAGUCAGAUGUGAAAUCCUGCGGCUUAACCGCAGAACUGCAGUUGAAACUGUUGUUCUGGAGUACGGGAGAGGCAGACGGAAUUCGUGGUGUAGCGGUGAAAUGCGUAGAUAUUAGGAAGAACACCAGUGGCGAAGGCAGUAUACUGGAGAGCAACUGACGGUGAGGCGCGAAAGCGUGGGGAGCAAACAGGAUUAGAUACCCGGGUAGUC